GGUGCCGUGCGCAGGCAGGGGCCUGCAUCGCGCUCCUCUGAGCCAGGGGGUGGCCCAGCCGUCCCCUGCCUGACCCCCAGCAAAGCCGGGCUCAGCAGCCCCACCUGCGCUCUCUGGGACGCGCGCGGUGCAGCUUGAGUGCCCCCUUCAUACAGGUCGGGGGUCCCAGGAGCAGGCAAUGGGGUUUCCUGCCCAGGGCGUGCGGCCUUUCCCCUGGGAAUUUCCGCUCGGGUGACGGAGGGAGUCGCUGGAAGGGGCAAGCCGGGCGGCCGCGUGCCAAAGGGCGUGGGGACGGGCUGCUUCGGCUGCGAACUUUGAGCCCCCAGCUCCGCUGGCUGCUUGGGAGCCUGGCGCGUUUAUGACCCGUUGCCAGCCAGCGCCCAGAGCCGCUCCCUGCACUGCAGGCCCAGCAGCUCCGUGGGACAGGAGGGGAAGCGAAUCGGCGCUUCAGCUUUCCCGCUGGCUCGGGGGAGCGGGAGCACCGCUCGGUAGCGCCCUCGCUCGGACCCUUUGGCGCAUGACCCUGUUUCCCGGACGCCCCAGGCCAGCCCCAGGCACCCCGAUGGCCGAAUGCCGCUGGAUGGAGGAAGAGGGGUCCCUUUUCAAGGGGCUGCCCCAGCUGCCCAAAGUGCUCCGCGCCCCCCCCCACGCAUGGCCCUCCGGCGGCAGGGGAGCGCCAGGAGGCCCUAGGAGUGCGGGGGACAAGCAGCCAAAGGGACGGCGCUCCGGGCUCCAGCCUCCAGGCCAGGAUCUCUUGGGUGCGGAAGGAGCUGCUCAGCCUGCAGCUGACCGACCGGGCGCUUCUCCGGCAACUGGACCCCAUCGCCCAGGAGAUCCAGGACCUGCGGGAGCUGCAGCUGGAGCUGGAAGAGCUCUUUGCCGAAGGGGAGCUGCUGGGACCAGCCCCCUCCUCCCACUGGCAUCUCUGCCCCUUGACACUGAGCGGUGGGGUGGAGGGGAAGGCCUUAUAAACCAUGCAGGUGAAAGAGCUGAUUGGCUAGAUGAACCAUCGAUCGCCUAGACGCAGGGGAGGGACUUCCCUUCUCCGCAAAGGGUUCUGGGUAGGGAAGCCCUUUAUAUAACCCCGGCUGGGCCGGCCGAGGGAGUGGGCAUUGCUGGGAUGGAGAGGACCUGUAGGGUGGAAGAUCCCGGGCCUGUUAUGAGCUAUCCGGACCACUUUGGAUGGGGAAAUGGAUGGCCGUGAGGAGACGGCAAAGGAGCCUGUCGUGUUCUCUGGCUGGGGGUUUUGUUCCCUCCCCGCCACGUUAAAAUAAAAGGAGUUGGUCCUUUGCUUUUCUUCUUGCCCCAGCUUCUCUGAACUGGGCCCCGCCGAUCUGUUCGGAGAGUUUGGCGCCCGCGUUCUGCCCCACGGCAACUGAGAGGACGAGAGAGAAUCGCAGGGCGUUUCUGCCGUCGUCUUCCUCACGAGUCAGGCGCAGCGAAGAGAAAUCAGUGUGGGUCACGGGGCGUUGUCCUGCCGUGUAAAGGGGGCAGAGGAGAGAGAUAUUUUUUUCUAGUGGGGGGGGCAUGCGCUCUCUCCCUAUGUGGGCGGGCACAGCCCAUUCCUCCUGGGGGGAGACCUGAUUCUGGAGUGAGCUCUGGCCACCUGUUUCAGAAGGAGAACCCCCGGCCCCCAGCUCCGCCAUUGCACCACAGAGAGGUAGGUGCAGAGAGGGGCGUUGG